GGACUGCAGGCCUGUUCUGUGUGCUCCUGGAUUCCCUGUCCUUCAGGAAAGACACAGCUGCAGCUCUGGCCUUCAUGCCUCAGGCCCUGAGUGGGGUGGCAGCACUGCCCCCUUCCGAGGCACACAGUGUGGUGGACCAUGGGGACACUUCGGAAGGCCUCAUCUUCCCUCUGUGCAGGUAACCCCACUCCAGCCCCACAGGCUCUGCCCAGCGGCUUGGGGACACUCAGGAGCACAGGCGACAGAGCCUGGCUCUGGGUGGGGGCGGGGCAGCACAGAGGAAUGCUGAACCAAUAAAAACCCCUUUGCAUUUGCGGCUGUAAAACUUUAUAGAGAUUUCUCAACACAUGACAUGAAUAAUAACCAGGCUUUCUUUUCAGUUAUUGCCAACCCAGCACAGCCUGUGAGGCCUUCUAAAGCCCAGGAUCCCUGGGUGCGGGCCGACAGGGCCUGCCCUGCAGCAGCCUCCAGUGGCAGGAGGGGUCAAGCGGGCCUUCCGGAACCUUCUCGCUCCUUGUGAUGGGCCUGGGGCGGAGCCAAUGACCUCAUGCCUCAUUGUGGGUUUGAUUGUUCCAAUGGCCUAUUGCCAUGGGAAGUUGGCGAGUCCCCUUCCAGCCCCAUUGUUUAAACUGGAGUAGGGGAGGUAGGGUGCAGGAUUCAGCUUAGCUGGGUGGCACGGUCACCCCUGGCCUGGGGGAUCUCAAGGCCCCUUUCCUGCCCCUGGCAAGCGACUGGCAGGAGGACGCUGGCCGAGCUGGGUUCUGAAAUCAUUUCCUACGAGGAUGUUGCGGCCCCUGCAGACCAGUGGUGCCCUGCGCAUGCUGUGGGGCUGCCUCUCCCGGUCCUACUGUGUCCUCCUCUCUGAGUGGACAUGGCAGAGCCACCAGGCCCCCACGGUGGCCCCCACGUUCUGGGUGGGUGGGAGGAGCCAGGGUUAGAGGGGAGGGACAGGAUUCUGGCUCCCAGGGCCGUCCUGAGAGGCAGUGAAGACGGUGGGGAUGAUGAGGGUAUAAGCGGUGGCCUAGGUGGGCGGAAGGAGGGGCAGGAGCAGACCAGAGAAAAACCUCGCUCCUCUCCUGCCUGCGCAGCCCCAACCGGCUUGGGAUUUUUGCCGUUAGCACUCCCCUUGGAAGGAGAGGAAAUUAAUGCAUCUCACUUUCACUCCUGCAUCCCACUUCCACUUCUACUCCCAAAAUGUCACGGGUUGUCUCUCCGCCUGGCUGCCUCGCUUGCUGGCAGCGGAUCACACAGGUAAUAAUUUAUCCCUUGAUGCUCAGGUGCAGCGCUUGAGGCUGCCAGGUGCCUGCACCUGCCCCGGGCCUGGACUCCUGGAAGACUCAGGCUCCUCGUGCAGUUUUGGCGUCUCCUGGGCUCUGGGAUCAGGCUGCUUCCAAGGACAGGCAGGCUGCUCCUCACAUGGACGGGUGCAUGAGUGAGGCAUUGGAGGUGAGGAUGCUGAACUUGGAGGACAGCAACGUCAGGUGAAGGGGAGGCAGCAGCCUGGACUUGAGCCCCUACUCAGCACAUGCGAGAGGAGAAUCCCAAUACAGCAAAGGUCCUGAAAAAUACAUUCUGAACAAACAGAUGGUGGCUGGCCUGAUGGACAGAUGGACACAUGCACUAAUGGGUGCGAGACAGAAGCAAUAAUUGUCGGUCAACAACCGGCACUGUCCUACCCACUCACUGAGUCACAACUAUGACAGCUGUGACUGUGCUGGAGCCCACAUCCACUUGGACCAAUCACAGGCCUGCAGCUACUAGAUAAGCAGCACUCCCUUCUCUUUCUUGGGUCAGCCUAGGAGUGCCCUCUGCUGUGUACUGACCCCUGCCAUGCUCCCACACAGGUACUAUUAAAAUAAAGUCUCACUUCAGUGGUCCUGUA